AUUGAACGCUGGCGGCAGGCCUAACACAUGCAAGUCGAGCGGAUGAAGGGAGCUUGCUCCUGGAUUCAGCGGCGGACGGGUGAGUAAUGCCUAGGAAUCUGCCUGGUAGUGGGGGAUAACGUCUGGAAACGGGCGCUAAUACCGCAUACGUCCUGAGGGUGAAAGUGGGGGAUCUUCGGACCUCACGCUAUCAGAUGAGCCUAGGUCGGAUUAGCUAGUUGGUGGGGUAAAGGCCUACCAAGGCGACCAUCCGUAACUGGCCUGGGAGGAUGACCAGUCACACUGGAACUGAGCCGAGGUCCAGACUCCUACGGGAGGCAGCAGUGGGGAAUAUUGGACAAUGGGCGAAAGCCUGAUCCAGCCGUGCCGCGUGUGUGAAGAAGGUCUUCGGAUUGUAAAGCACUUUAAGUUGGGGGGAAGGGCAGUAAGUUAAUACCUUGCUGUUUUGACGUUACCAACAGAAUAAGCACCGGCUAACUUCGUG
rnacentral:rRNA from 1 species